CACAUAUGUACCGAAGUUAAGCAUCAUUGGGCGUGGUCAGUACUUGGGUGGGUGACCACCUGGGAACACUGCGUGCCGUU